AUUGUAUGAGUCUUAAAUCAUUGAUUGAGAAUCAUAUGAUCUCAAUAAUAUGAUUUCAUUUUCCCUUUUUCUGAUUCUAAAACACAUAUAAAUAGAGAAAGUUAGGGUUUAUAUGUUGGUUAGAAUUUUUUUUUUCUUUUCUUUAAUUUGAUCGAUCUAAUUAUGUUGGCAUGCUUAAUUUCAACAAUUAUCUAGUGCUUAGCUUUAUUAGGGUGUUCAAUUAGUUGAUUCAUUGGUCUUUUUUUGUUUGAUUGUUAAACCUUUGAAAAAUUAGAAUUAGCUUUUCGGUUUAUAAAGUAUUCUCUGCAUCCAUUUAUUUAGCUUUGUGUAAUGUUUUGUUUGAUUUGAUAUUUUGUUACGGUCAGAAUGAUAUUUUCUUAAAAGAAUAUUAUAUCCCCUUUGGAUGGUUUACUUUGUAAAUGUAAUGUUAGGAGCAGCUUGAAUUUGAUGCAGGUGUGUGGCAAAUCCACUUUUUGGAUUUAAGCUUGACGGCAUAUGAGAGUGGGAACUCAUUUUUGGAAAAGGUAGCUAGUUAUGAGUCUUAUGACCUUACAAUUAAAUUUGUAGGUUAAACUGAUUGCUUCACUAUAGUUGGGCUAAGGAAUACUAACAGUAAAUGAUAUCCAAUAAUAGCAUUUCUCUUACUCAACCUAUAACAAUUUCACAAUCAUGGGUAGUUCAUCAGCAGACACUGCUUACGGUUUAUAUCAAUGCAUAGGUGAUUUAUCCAUGCCGGAUUGUACUAACUGUGUAGCUCGUGCAGUGAGUCAAAUUGGUACUCUUUUUUCUAACGCAUAUGGUGGCGUUUUAGAGCAACAAGGCUGUUUUGUUAAAUAUGAUAAUACUAAGUUCUUAGGUGUUGAAGAUAAGGCUAUUUCGAUGAUGAUGCUAGCGAGGAGACAGUUCCUGACUCAGAUAUUGAUGGGAGAGAUCUGUACACUGAAUUAAAGAUUAUGAAAAGGACACUGCCGGCCUAGAUAAAGAAACCAAUUGAGGUAUUACAUUAUUUGCAACACUUGGAAGCAUGUUAUCCCAAUGCUUGGGUUGCUUAUAGAAUUUUGCUUACCGUCCCUGUUACCGUGGCAAGCGCAGAAAGAAGUUUCUCCAAACUGAAAUUAAUCAAGUCUUAUCUUCGGUCCUCAAUGUUGCAAGAAAGAUUGAAUGGCUUGGCUAUGAUAGCUAUUGAAAUAACCAUAGCUGAAAAAAUAGACUACAAAUCCAUCAUUAGAGAGUUUGCGUCUAAGACUACGCGAAGGGUGAAAGUAUUUCGACGAACUUUGUAAAAUUUAUGUUUAGAUGUCAAUAUAAUUAUAUAAUUAUCUUUUAUUA